UUUGAAAAGCUAAUAUGGAAGAGAAAAUAAUAGUGACAGAAUAAUUUAUAAAAUUUAUCCGAACUAUUGAGCUAGGUUGGUAUAUUAUCGGUAGCACGGAGAUCUCCGUGCUUCCAAGUUGUUUUCAAUGAUGUCACUUCCAAAUCGAUGAUCGGCUUCGUUAGACUUGAUCUACGCUAUUAAAAGUAUUUGAAAACUAAAUUUCAUAACUUUUUGACAUCAUUUGGCUAGUGAUCAAAAGGUCUCAAAAUUAAUAAUUUUAAUGGUAGAUGUGAUGCGUUUGUGAAUUUAACGGUGUCAGACAAUCCAAAUCUGAUGAAAUUUUUAUAGAAAAUUCUUUUCACUAUUUAGAGUAAAAUUAGUAACUCUGAUCUUAAAUUCAAAUCUUUUAUCAUUAUUUUUUAUGAAAUUUUUAUUUUCAACCGUUAAUUUUUAGACUACUCGUUUGAUAGGUAAAUGAUGCCAAAAAAUUAUGAAAUUAAGUUUUCAAAUACUUUCAAUAGUGUAGAUCAAGUCUAACGGAGCCGAUCGUCGAUUUGGAAGCCGCAUCAUUGAAAACAACUUGGUAGCACGGAGGCUUCCGUACUAUCGACAGUAUACCAGCCUAUAUAGACUCCUGAACUAUUAAUUAAUCAUUUUGAGUUAGUUGUAACGUCUUUUAAAAUUUUAACCUUACUAUUUGAUCUUCUAAUUUGUUUUACUUGAGUCGGUUGAGGAUGUGCGUUUUGACUUCAAAACAUAAACUUAUUACUUAAUUAAAUAAUUUAUAGUGACGAGAAUUGUAUGAAAUAUGAAAAUUGAAUUUGUAAAGAUAAACGGCGCAUUUAUAUUUCGAAGUUAAAGUGCUGUUCACUGACUCGAAUCAAACAAAUUGAAAGAUUAGAUAAUAAAAUUAAAGUUUAAAAGAACGAAUACAUUUAUUUUUCAAAUGACGGGAGAGAAAUUACGUAUAAAAAAAUAUAAAAUUCGAAGACUUUAGUAAAAAUAGCUGAAUUUAAGUAUUUUCAGUCAGUAGUUUGGGCAUUACAGGUUUUUAGAGUUAAUGAACUGAAUCAUCAUAUUUGGUAUCAUGGUUGAUUUGUCGGCUGACGGUAUGAGAU
rnacentral:lncRNA from 1 species